UACGUAGGGUGCAAGCGUUGUCCGGAAUUAUUGGGCGUACAGAGCUCGUAGGCGGUCUGUCGCGUCUGCUGUGAAAACUCGGGGCUUAACCCCGGGCCUGCAGUGGGUACGGGCAGACUAGAGUGCGGUAGGGGAGACUGGAAUUCCUGGUGUAGCGGUGAAAUGCGCAGAUAUCAGGAGGAACACCGGUGGCGAAGGCGGGUCUCUGGGCCGUAACUGACGCUGAGGAGCGAAAGCGUGGGGAGCGAACAGG
rnacentral:rRNA from 1 species